rnacentral:rRNA from 1 species
AUUGAACGCUGGCGGCAGGCCUAACACAUGCAAGUCGAGCGGCAGCGGGAAAGUAGCUUGCUACUUUUGCCGGCGAGCGGCGGACGGGUGAGUAAUGCCCGGGAAAUUGCCCAGUCGAGGGGGAUAACAGUUGGAAACGACUGCUAAUACCGCAUACGCCCUACGGGGGAAAGCAGGGGACCCUCGGGCCUUGCGCGAUUGGAUCUGCCCGGGUGGGAUUAGCUAGUUGGUGGGGGAAUGGCGCACCAAGGCGACGAUCCCUAGCUGGUCUGAGAGGAUGAUCAGCAACACUGGAACUGAGACACGGUCCAGACUCCUACGGGAGGCAGCAGUGGGGAAUAUUGCACAAUGGGGGAAACCCUGAUGCAGCCAUGCCGCGUGUGUGAAGAAGGCCUUCGGGUUGUAAAGCACUUUCAGCGAGGAGGAAAGGUUGUUGGCUAAUAUCCAACAGCUGUGACGUUACUCGCAGAAGAAGCACCGGCUAACUCCGUGCCAGCCGCCGCCGUAAGAC